ACCUGCAGACAUUCUCCUUUAUAAUGACAUUCCAUCCCUUCUCCCAAGCUGAACAGAAGAAGGCCAGGUCAGUAUUUGGGUGGGAGAGCUCUAAAGAACACCAAGGUGCUGUAAGAA
rnacentral:rRNA from 1 species